GCUCCCGUAGCUCAAAUGGCAGAGCGGCAGGCUUAUACCCUGUAAGCGCCAGAUCAGCGCACGGUCCGAGUUCGAAUCUCGGCGGGAGCA
rnacentral:tRNA from 1 species